rnacentral:sRNA from 1 species
GGUCUGGAACUCAUAGAAUCUUCCUGCAUCUGUAUGUGUGCGCGCACGCGCGUGUGCGCGAGAGCAGGGCUUGGUAUACUUGUCUGGAGUGUGAAGAUCGUGAGAUAACCUCAGAUGUCUGUUUGCUUUGAGGCAGGGUCUCUUUUGUUGGUCCUGGCCGGCCGCAAAGACCAGACUGAUUGCCUCAAGAAUUUCUGUCUCCAAUUCUUUUUUUUUUUUUUUUUUUUUUCAAAGCUGGGGACCGAACCCAGGGCCUUGCGGUUGCUAGGCAAGCGCUCUACCUCGGAGCCAAAUCCCCAACCCCUCUGUCUCCAAUUCUUAGCAGGAGCUUUGGAAUCACAGAUGCACACUACACAUUCUAGCUUUGCGUAGCUUCUGGAAUUCAGGUUCUCCUGUUUUCAGAGCAAGAGGUUUGUCUACCCAACCGUCUCUGCCAUCCAAACCCCACAUUACAGAGAUUUAACCAUUGCUGUGGUUCAGAUAUAGUUUCAGUGGGUCCAGUGGGGGUUGGGGGGUGGGGGAAUGUUAUGUCCUGGAAAUCUUAUCCACGGUAACAGCGCGAGUAGUGGAACCUUCCAGAAGUGGAGCCUGGUGGAAGGUGAUUAGAUUAUCAGAAGAGAUUCAGGUAGUUAUCAGAGCUUCCUCCUUAGUCCUUUCGAGUAUGUAUCCUUAGGAAGCAAAGCUACCCAACUUGCUAGGGACCUUCUGCAUAAGGUCCUUCUGAGACUCUUCCGUGCUGUGAUGCAGCUAAGAAGUUCCUCAGUCUGAACAGAUGGGGCUGCUUGCUCUUUAGCUCACAGCCUUCGCAAAUGUGAGCUAAACCAACCUGUUUUCUUUAUAAGGUAUUCAUCCCCAGUUAUUUUGGUACAGUGGGAACCCUGGGGAGGAAGUGAGGAGCAGGUGAAUUUAAGAAGGCGGGCCACCAUAAUGGGAUUAGUGGGCUUGCCUCCCAGAGGAAGAGACACCCAAACUAGUGCUUGUUCUGUCUCACCACAGGAUUCUAGGCCAUGUCGCCUCGUGCACAACAUAGCACAGCACCAAAACCAAGAGCAAUCCUCACUCGACAAGGUGGAAGAUGGGAACGGUUUCCCCAGGUGUUCUCUGGCACCAACCUGCGGUGGCCUAUCCUGGUAGUCACGUGAAUAAACAUUUUUGUUGGAUUGGUGUUUUCGUUUUUGAGACGGGUCCUUAAUCAUUUAGAGCUGGCUGACCAGGAACAGCUAGGUAGACUAGGCUGGCCUUAGACUCAUGGGGAUGUACCUGAUUCUGCCCCCCUGAACCCUAGGAUUAAAGGUGGGUAACCACUAUGCCUAGUUAAAUAAACAAGUAUUUUCCGAAAAAAAUAUUAUGAAAGCAGGCUAUGGUGGAUCAUAUCUAUCUAUAGUUCUGGAACUUGAGAUAUGGAGACAGGUGGCUAGCCUAAACUACAGAAGAUUCUAUCUGGAAAAAAAAAUUAUAUGAAAAUGCCAGGUGUGGGAGAUAGAGGUAGGAGAGUCAGCAUGAAUUCAAAGUCAGCCUCAGUUUCCUAAGGAGUUUUAGACCACCUCGGGCUACUGCGUGAGAUCCUGCCUCAAAACUAAACAACAGAGCCUGAAGAGCUAGCUUAGUAAUUAAAACACCUAUUGCUCUUGCAGAGGACCCAGGUUCAGUUCUUGGCGCCUACAUCAUAUGAUUCUUAACUCCCUGAAUUCUGUUUCCACGAGAUCCAACCGUUGUUAGCUUACAAGUGAUUCCAUUAGGCUCCUCCCACGGACCUAAGAGUGCUUCAGGUGUCAUCUGCUUACCAUCUCCAGAAUUUAUGGCUGGAGAGAUGGUUCACUGAUUAAGAGCGUUGGCUGCUUUCUCAGAGGAUCCAGGUUCGAUUCCCAGCACCCACAUGGUAGCUCACAGCUGUCUGUAACUCCAAGUCCUGGGGGAUGAAAGACUUCUUCUGGUGAGUCCCAGGCACUCACAUGAUACACAGGUAUAUGUUCAGGCACCUAUACAUAUUAAAUCGAUUAUCAAAAAUUAAUUAAAAAAAUCAAAUUUAACUAGGUAUCUUUUUUUCCCCCUGGCAAACGUCUGACCCGGCUGGGGAGAAUGUUCCUUUCAUCGUAACCACGGUGAGGACCACGGAAACUUCUGCUCUAUGGAUUUUCACUAUGUCCUCUUCACACCAUGAAAAACGUGUGAAUGUAUUUUUAACCACUGGGUGCAGAAACAGAUCAACUAUUCAAUAAAGUGGAUCCUUCAUUUGCA